UACGGAGGGUGCAAGCGUUAUCCGGAUUCACGGGGUUUAAAGGGUGCGUAGGUGGGUUGGUAAGUCAGUGGUGAAAUCCCCGAGCUUAACUUGGGAACUGCCAUUGAUACUAUCAAUCUUGAAUACCGUGGAGGUCAGCGGAAUAUGUCAUGUAGCGGUGAAAUGCUUAGAUAUGACAUAGAACACCAAUUGCGAAGGCAGCUGGCUACACGAAUAUUGACACUGAUGCACGAAAGCGUGGGGAUCAAACAGG
rnacentral:rRNA from 1 species